UACGUAGGUGGCAAGCGUUGUCCGGAAUUACUGGGUGUAAAGGGAGCGCAGGCGGGAAGCCAAGUCAGCUGUGAAAACUACGGGCCUAACUUGUAGACUGCAGUUGGAACUGGUUUUCUUGAGUGAAGUAGAGGUUGGCGGAAUUCCGAGUGUAGCGGUGAAAUGCGUAGAUAUUCGGAGGAACACCGGUGGCGAAGGCGGCCAACUGGGCUUUAACUGACGCUGAGGCUCGAAAGUGUGGGGAGCAAACAGG
rnacentral:rRNA from 1 species